GUUGUUGCUGGGUUUGGUAUAUGACCCGGGGUGCAUUUCUGCCAAGCUUCACAGGACUCCUGCAUCUUGUGGAUCGCACCUGAAGGUUUUAUCUGCAUUUCCAGAGCUGUCCCAGAGACCCAGCAGAGGAAAAAUCAGCUGCGCUCCCCCAGAACAGCUGAAACCAGCACAGAUCUGGCAAGGGAAAAGGGGGAGAAGUGCUAAUUGCCGAGAUGUGUGAUGCACACACAGAGCCAUCGUGUUGAUAUGAUUGCAAAGCUGGGUAACGUCAGCAUCCCAGAGACCCUCCUCCAACUCGGAUUAGAGAGAAGAGGCUCAACGGUGCCGAGCAGCAGGUGCCGGAGGAGGCAGCCGGAGCCGCUCGCCAGGGGACCUUGGGAGCAGGGAGUAGCCGUGUGGGAAACUUCUUCAUUGUUUGUGAAAUCUCAGUCAAUGAAAAGAGUCUGAACUCCGACACAAAGGCGCUAAUUAAACACUGCCACGCUCCUGCUCCAGCACGGAAAAGCAAGCACUGUGGAAGUGAAACAGCAGCCAUCCCCCAUCCAAGGGCUGCAAAUAACCGACCCGGCACAAACCUUCAUCUCACCCUCCCUGUUCCUGCCAGCCCCGGGAAGAACUCCUGCUGCAGGCAGUUGAACUGGAGCCACUUGACUUCUCCAGCAGAGAAAACCCACAACUCACCAGGAUGCUCUCCGAGAGAAAUGUUCCUUGAUCUACAUAGGGAGUUAUAAUUCUCAUUUGCUUUUUUCAUGGAGCAUUAUGUGUCUUUCAAUCAUUUUUUUUCCCCCGUCACUUCAAAAUGUAAUUUCCCCAACGGUGGGGAACAGCUAGAUGGUCCAUGCUGCCUCACAACCCACCUUUUGGAAAUAAUCCACUUCUGAACGAGAGAGCAGCUGCUACUCAAACAGGAAAAAAAAGGCUCUCCCUCCUGAGCUAGCAGGGCUUUCAAUGACAUCUGAGG
rnacentral:lncRNA from 1 species